rnacentral:rRNA from 1 species
ACUGAGCGCUGGCGGCAGGCUUAACACAUGCAAGUCGAGCGGAGAUGAGGUGCUUGCACCUUAUCUUAGCGGCGGACGGGUGAGUAAUGCUUAGGAAUCUGCCUAUUAGUGGGGGACAACAUUCCGAAAGGAAUGCUAAUACCGCAUACGUCCUACGGGAGAAAGCAGGGGAUCUUCGGACCUUGCGCUAAUAGAUGAGCCUACGUCGGAUUAGCUAGUUGGUGGGGUAAAGGCCUACCAAGGCGACGAUCUGUAGCGGGUCUGAGAGGAUGAUCCGCCACACUGGGACUGAGACACGGCCCAGACUCCUACGGGAGGCAGCAGUGGGGAAUAUUGGACAAUGGGGGGAACCCUGAUCCAGCCAUGCCGCGUGUGUGAAGAAGGCCUUAUGGUUGUAAAGCACUUUAAGCGAGGAGGAGGCUACUGAGACUAAUACUCUUGGAUAGUGGACGUUACUCGCAGAAUAAGCACCGGCUAACUCUGUGCCAGCCGCCGCGGUAA